rnacentral:lncRNA from 1 species
UAUCGACAAAAUGGAAAUGCGAUAAAGUAAAUACAUCAACUAAACAAUCCCCCACCAGCACCAGACCAAUCUCGCUCCUCGCUUAGCCUGCACAUUUAGAAAUACAUGCGGGGCGUGAGUACAUAAUACUCAGUGGGCAAACGCCGAAAAACAAGAAAGGUGCUCUUAGAGCUAUAGGUUUGAAACUUGCCACAUCUCAGCAAUACACAGGAAUAAAAUAGUGUAAAUGAACUUGUGUAAGCAGUUUUAAUAAAUAUGACAUCAUAAAGAAACGACUGCAGUCAAAGAUCAAAACAUGUAUGCACCACAACCACAACUCAUCAAUAUCAAAGGUACUGAGAAGUAGGUCUCCCUCUCAAGUACCGUGACCGGCCGACCCAAAGACGGCUCGCAAUCACCUCUGUGCACAAAAUCCCGCUUGAGGCAGGACCAAAUUCGUCUCAUCAGUAGAGUGUAACACACAAGUCAUUAUCAACAAAAAUCGGCAAGUCAAACAGUUCUCAAACAUCAUUUAUCUCAAAACAUUUGAUAAACUCAUAACAUCAUCAAAACAGUUUAGAAAGCUCGUAUGAUAUAUGUAUACUCAAAAUAUUGCCCACCUGAAGUCCUUCGCUCAACUUGGAAAGGAAAACAGGCGACUUACUUCUUCAUCUCGCUCGGGCCUUCAUAUAUCAUCAUCAUCGUCAUCGAAGGUUCAUGUGAUAAAACAAACCUUAGUUAGAACUCGUUACUAAAACCAAUCUCGUCUCAAACUAAUACUUCUCACUCAUCUUCUAUUUACCCAAUAAAUCUCAAUCCCUAGGUUUACUUAACUUCUAAGGAUUCACACGUCCUAUUCUCGACUUAACACUCAACUCGGAUCAAACUCAUAGCAAUCAAGCACAUAAACAAGCAUAAACACAUAAGCAUAUCAAUUCACAC